UCGGGUUGUAAAGCACUUUUGUCCGGAAAGAAAACUUCCUGGUUAAUACCUGGGGAGGAUGACGGUACCGGAAGAAUAAGCACCGGCUAACUACGUGCCAGCAGCGCGGUAAUCGUAGGGUGCGAGCGUUAAUCGGAAUUACUGGGCGUAAAGCGUGCGCAGGCGGUUCGUUAAGACAGAUGUGAAAUCCCCGGGCUUAACCUGGGAACUGCAUUUGUGACUGGCGAGCUAGAGUAUGGCAGAGGGGGGUAGAAUUCCACGUGUAGCAGUGAAAUGCGUAGAGAUGUGGAGGAAUACCGAUGGCGAAGGCAGCCCCCUGGGCCAAUACUGACGCUCAUGCACGAAAGCGUGGGGAGCAAACAGGAUUAGAUACCCUGGUAGUCCACGCCCUAAACGAUGUCAACUAGUUGUUGGGGAUUCAUUUCCUUAGUAACGUAGCUAACGCGUGAAGUUGACCGCCUGGGGAGUACGGUCGCAAGAUUAAAACUCAAAGGAAUUGACGGGGACCCGCACAAGCGGUGGAUGAUUGUGGAUUAAUUCGAUGCAACGCGAAAAACCUUACCUACCCUUGACAUGGUCGGAACCCUGCUG
rnacentral:rRNA from 1 species